GACGAACGCUGGCGGCGUGCUUAAGACAUGCAAGUCGUACGAGAAAGUCUCUUCGGAGAUGAGUAAAGUGGCGCACGGGUGAGUAACGCGUGGGUAAUCUGCCCUUAGGUUUGGGAUAACCCCGGGAAACCGGAGCUAAUACCGAAUGAGACCACGACGACCUCGGUCGAUGGGGGAAAAGGUGGCCUCUUCUUGAAAGCUACCGCCAAAGGAUGAGCGCGCGUUUGAUUAGCGAGUUGGUGAGGUAAUGGCUCACCAAGGCGACGAUCAAUAGCUGGUCUGAGAGGAUGAUCAGCCACACUGGAACUGAGAUACGGUCCAGACUCCUACGGGAGGCAGCAGUCAGGAAUAUUGGGCAAUGGGCGAAAGCCUGACCCAGCAACGCCGCGUGAAGGAUGAAGGCCCUCGGGUCGUAAACUUCUGUCGAGAGGGAAGAAUGUGUACGGGUGAACAAUCCGUGCAUUUGACGGUACCUCCAAAGGAAGCACCGGCUAACUCCGUGCCAGCAGCCGCCGUAA
rnacentral:rRNA from 1 species